GAAGUCACAGCAUUCUUUACUUUUCUGCCCUUUUAGUUUUUCAUCUCUUGCCCUUCUAUCUUCAUUCAGCCCUUUUCGUUUGUGAAACAUUUUCACAUCUCUUACUUAUCUGUAUAAUAGUUUUAGUUUUGAUAUACUUAUGGUAUGUCCAAUAUGACCACAUUUCCUUUUUUGUCUCCAUACUGGUAAUUCUUCUUUGAGGCCCAGAUGAGUCUAUGAGUAUUUGGGAGGUUUAGGGCUCAACUAAUAAGCUCCUCACAUUACCAAAAAAUGUGAGACAAACAUAUUGUCCUGACAAGAUCCCCGACUAGAUACCUCAAUUGUCAGAGAAAGUAAAUUUGAGGAUAAAUGAAUCCAAAACUCAAUUAUUAGAAAUACUGUAAUCCAGUUGACCCAAGUAAUGAAUAUCAGCUGGCAACCAGUGCAUCAACACUAGAGAAGGAAUUUGCUCACAGAAUGUAAAAAAAACUGUUAAAACACUCAUAAACUGCACAAAAUAAAUAUGAAGGAAAUGAUUGCUAGUUGUGCCAGUGCUAUUAUUACAGAUUGUCACUGGAUGCUGUAAUAUUGGCCAAUAUUUUCAGCUGCCCAAUUAAUCGGUUGGGCUCUAUUUUUUUUUUUUGAUGCACUAUAGACCAAAUUUACUUGCUAGAGGUAAUACAACUAUGUUUUUUCAGAAUGUCAACCCCCUUUCACUGUCUGUGCACUUGUUCUGAUGUUCCAUUUUUGUCUUAAUAACAAUUUAAACAUAAAGUUAUUUACAACAAUCAAUUCAACUGUGGGACAAAAAAUACUAUGCCAUCCUAAAUUGGGUUUACUGGUAUCUCCUUAUCACUCAUGGUGUUUGUUUCCAUUGUCUCGCUAUGUGAAGACAUGCAAUUGCUCCUUAACUGUCUUUCUUUAACAUAACAAACAUUAGGGAGAUUUUGUUGUCUUAUCCAUUUCUCUAUGUGUUCUUUUUCACAUUAUUUGCCCUUCAUUUCACCUUAAGUCUACUCUAACCCACUGGACUAGGUUCAGCUGCUGCUGUGAAUAAGAAUCCAACUGGUUGACUCAGGAUUGUGACUCAGUUUGGAUAACCUAAGACACAAAGGAUCGUGGAGACACAGGGGGAGUCUGAGGAACAAAACAAAUAAAGUGUGUCACCCCGCUCUGUCCAUACAUUCAGCCGUGUGUGCGAUCAACUCAGGCAUGCGCUCUCUCACAAGUCUGGGCCGAUGCCUAAGUUCUAAACAGACCAACCUGUGUGUCAGGAAAACAGUAUCCUUACACACAAUGAGAGGGAGAGAACGAACACUAAAUGCUCAAACCACGCAAAAUGGUAGAGAGAGGGAUUUGAGUCUAUGGGGAGGAGAGAGAGUUCUGUCCACUGACUCUCAAUACUCCCCUAACUCUCCACUCUCUUGGUCAGUCAUUCAGCAGAAAAACGGAUCGAUAAAGAGUUGAAGCUCUCCGUGCCAAGUGACUCCUCGUAAAUGGGUACUUAAACUUUUUUAAAGGGGGGGGGGAUGAAGGAAGCCAAACGGGCUUGGUGUUCAAAGUGAGAAAAUGAAAGCUGUGCUUCCUAAUGUCCUGUCUAAGUGGAUGUCUCUGUGUCUGAUGAAGCGUGAAGUGCUCUGUAACCCUAACAAAAUGACUAUCAUUGUGUUCCUCUGGUUUUAAAUGGCCUCCUCCUCAGUGGCCCUAUCUCUACCUCCAUCCCUCUUAGUAUGAAAUGGGGAGGCAAAAAUGAAGGCUAUCCAUAAAUACAGUAAUUGCAUGAAGGGCAGGUGUUUAUCAUAGCCACAGCCAUCAUGCAGUGUAAUGAUCCAAAGGUCUGCUGUUAACGGUGGUUUGACUUCAUAUUUCACCAGUCCAUACUGCACAUUGUGUAACAGCAAAGUGAUAGAGGGACAGUUUCUGUUUUCCCUUUU